AAAAUACCAAGACAAAAAAAUGGUAAAGGGGAGAAAAGGAAUUGUAAAACAAUGAGCAAAAGAGCGUGCUUUCAAGAAGAGCAGGAUGUCUGUUUUGAAACCUUGGAAAUACUUCACAGGUCCCAGCCUAGMAAAACUAAAAGAAUCGUUCUUGUGGUGGACCUAGUGGACGUGCCCUGGAAUGCUAGGUCACAGCCUGGGACUAAAGACCUGCUGCCCUUCAGAGCCAGCGCUCCCCAGUGUGCAGCUCACACGUGCAGCUCUGGCUGUGUAAGACCAUGUUUGCAGAGACUUCUAGAUAUACAGCAGGAGUCCUGAAAGAGAAACAUAAAAGCUUUUGCUUUAUAAAAGCCAGAACGCCUUAUUUCUUAUUAACCAAACUCUGCCUUGCUGUGUGAGGUGCAUACGAAAGAGAACUUCAGAGCAAUGACUUCUAUGGCAUCUGUCAAUAUUUUCAUUUUAGCUUAGCAGCGGAUUUAAGUUAUUAUUGAGUCCUAUUUUCUGAAGAGAGCAAAUGCACAAAAAUCUGAUUAUAUUGAACCUCUAACUGCAUAAACAUAAUACUAGCCCCAGUGGACUAAUUCCAUUAAGAGUUGAACUAUCCAUCUUGAAGUUGCUCAUGAAUGCAAGCAGUCAGAGCUGCUGGCAUGGCUGGGUUUGCAGAACAACUUGUACAUUUUUGUGGCCAGAUAAUAAAAGCCAGCUUUGUUUAGAUAUAUAUUAAACAGUUUUAAUUAUAUAUUUUAAAACUUCAUUGUUACUCGCAUGUUGUUUCUCUCUGCUUGAAUGCUGUUCUCUAUUACAGCUGUAUAUUACCUUCAGGAUGCCUCUUGCUCGGGACCUUGCAAGGUGCUGAAUCUGUAAACAUCUGAUCUGUACCCCAGUCAGGUGGAGAAUGUUGAUUCUUUCAAGGAAAGGCCUGUUUCAGAAUUAUGCCUAUAUAAACUGUGCUCUGACUCACCAAUUUUUUAAUUCUACCUAUCUCCUAGAUAACUAACUCUUUUUCUAUCUAAAUAACAUAUUACUGCUGAGGUUUGGGAGUCAUUAGGGAAGAUCUGCCCAAUUAGCAUGCUAAUUAGGACCUACCCAAUUUGGGCAUAGGGAGGUGAUUGUUUUAUUAUCGUUCUGUGAGAUGAAAGAAAGAUUAACGACUGUGCGUGCACCCCUUGAGGGGUAAAGAAGUAACAGUUCUUUUUUGAGAUAUCUGUGUCUGAGAGGUGCUAUUUGAAAUAGCUGGGCUUACUGAGGGAGUUGCCUGCUGAUUAGUUACGCCUGGAGCAGAGAAAAAUCAUAAUUGAGUUUGUUUCUUGAUGAGAAGAAAAUGAUAGUACAGCGCAAACGUUACACAACGAGAAUGUCUGCUGUUAUAAAUCAAUGGAGUCCCAUUGAUGGAUUGAUAUCAGAGAAAGAUUUGGUCGUGAUUAAAUCAGGAGAUGAGUUUAUCACUGUGCUGACAGGACUAGAUUCAUGCACUAGAAAUGCACUAUAGGCUGUAAAAGAAGGGAUGGGCAGAGUUGUGUUGAAUAUGUGGUGGUUUAUUAGUUAGACUCUCCUUUAUGUACAGACUUUAAGGAAGCCUAAUAGGGCAUUUGAUGCUGCUUGUACAAACUUGCCAUGGAAAUUCCUGGGUUCAGAUUCCUGCCCAUCAUUAAGGACUGUUAAGGACUCGGGAUAUUGCAAUGGCUUGUAAAAUAAUCAAAGUCUAAUAAAGACUUGUAAGAAACAGCUCUGACUAAAUCCUUGUCAGGAUUAAAAAUGGGGUCCUGUGCAUGAUAUAUGGUCACUUAACCAUCAAGACAACAUGAAAAUAAUUAAACAACUGUCGACCAACAAAGAACGUCC